rnacentral:lncRNA from 1 species
GCCCGAUGCCGGCCAGCCGCUCGCCGUCUUCGCGGGACUUGCCUCCGCUGACCAGAUCCACGGCGCCAACUUGAUCCAGGUCUUGAGCAAGAGGGUGGUGGGGAAAACGACGAGCAGUGGUCUAUAACGGAUACAGACCUGUUACAGGUGUAAAUAACACAACCGGUGUAAAAUUUAUAGUCUAAAAACGACAUACCAAGCGCCAACGUGUGGUCCAUCCGUUUUUAUUUUACAGGAGUAUAUUUUACAGAUGUGUGGUCCACCAGGGGGGGGGGNGGUUGGUGGCGGUGGGGUGGGGGGGGGGAUGAUCUGCGCCGGUGCGUCGGUUCAAACUUUCGGCCGGCCGCGCGCGAGCCGCAGGAUCCACCAACCCCGUGUCGUCCGCACCGUUGGAUCCACAUGCAAUAUUUUUUCCCCUAUGCAACAAAAUUUCG